GGGUUGUGAGGUUAAGCGACUAAGCGUACACGGUGGAUGCCCUGGCAGUCAGAGGCGAUGAAGGACGUGCUAAUCUGCGAUAAGCGUCGGUGAGGUGAUAUGAACCGUUAUAACCGGCGAUUUCCGAAUGGGGAAACCCAGUGUGAUUCGUCACACUAUCAUUAACUGAAUCCAUAGGUUAAUGAGGCGAACCGGGGGAACUGAAACAUCUAAGUACCCCGAGGAAAAGAAAUCAACCGAGAUUCCCCCAGUAGCGGCGAGCGAACGGGGAGCAGCCCAGAGCCUGAAUCAGUGUGUGUGUUAGUGGAAGCGUCUGGAAAGGCGCGCGAUACAGGGUGACAGCCCCGUACACAAAAAUGCACAUACUGUGAGCUCGAUGAGUAGGGCGGGACACGUGGUAUCCUGUCUGAAUAUGGGGGGACCAUCCUCCAAGGCUAAAUACUCCUGACUGACCGAUAGUGAACCAGUACCGUGAGGGAAAGGCGAAAAGAACCCCGGCGAGGGGAGUGAAAAAGAACCUGAAACCGUGUACGUACAAGCAGUGGGAGCACGCUUCGGCGUGUGACUGCGUACCUUUUGUAUAAUGGGUCAGCGACUUAUAUUCUGUAGCAAGGUUAACCGAAUAGGGGAGCCGAAGGGAAACCGAGUCUUAACUGGGCGUUAAGUUGCAGGGUAUAGACCCGAAACCCGGUGAUCUAGCCAUGGGCAGGUUGAAGGUUGGGUAACACUAACUGGAGGACCGAACCGACUAAUGUUGAAAAAUUAGCGGAUGACUUGUGGCUGGGGGUGAAAGGCCAAUCAAACCGGGAGAUAGCUGGUUCUCCCCGAAAGCUAUUUAGGUAGCGCCUCGUGAAUUCAUCUCCGGGGGUAGAGCACUGUUUCGGCAAGGGGGUCAUCCCGACUUACCAACCCGAUGCAAACUGCGAAUACCGGAGAAUGUUAUCACGGGAGACACACGGCGGGUGCUAACGUCCGUCGUGAAGAGGGAAACAACCCAGACCGCCAGCUAAGGUCCCAAAGUCAUGGUUAAGUGGGAAACGAUGUGGGAAGGCCCAGACAGCCAGGAUGUUGGCUUAGAAGCAGCCAUCAUUUAAAGAAAGCGUAAUAGCUCACUGGUCGAGUCGGCCUGCGCGGAAGAUGUAACGGGGCUAAACCAUGCACCGAAGCUGCGGCAGCGACACUAUGUGUUGUUGGGUAGGGGAGCGUUCUGUAAGCCUGUGAAGGUGUACUGUGAGGUAUGCUGGAGGUAUCAGAAGUGCGAAUGCUGACAUAAGUAACGAUAAAGCGGGUGAAAAGCCCGCUCGCCGGAAGACCAAGGGUUCCUGUCCAACGUUAAUCGGGGCAGGGUGAGUCGACCCCUAAGGCGAGGCCGAAAGGCGUAGUCGAUGGGAAACAGGUUAAUAUUCCUGUACUUGGUGUUACUGCGAAGGGGGGACGGAGAAGGCUAUGUUGGCCGGGCGACGGUUGUCCCGGUUUAAGCGUGUAGGCUGGUUUUCCAGGCAAAUCCGGAAAAUCAAGGCUGAGGCGUGAUGACGAGGCACUACGGUGCUGAAGCAACAAAUGCCCUGCUUCCAGGAAAAGCCUCUAAGCAUCAGGUAACAUUAAAUCGUACCCCAAACCGACACAGGUGGUCAGGUAGAGAAUACCAAGGCGCUUGAGAGAACUCGGGUGAAGGAACUAGGCAAAAUGGUGCCGUAACUUCGGGAGAAGGCACGCUGAUACGUAGGUGAAGUCCCUCGCGGAUGGAGCUGAAAUCAGUCGAAGAUACCAGCUGGCUGCAACUGUUUAUUAAAAACACAGCACUGUGCAAACACGAAAGUGGACGUAUACGGUGUGACGCCUGCCCGGUGCCGGAAGGUUAAUUGAUGGGGUCAGCGCAAGCGAAGCUCUUGAUCGAAGCCCCGGUAAACGGCGGCCGUAACUAUAACGGUCCUAAGGUAGCGAAAUUCCUUGUCGGGUAAGUUCCGACCUGCACGAAUGGCGUAAUGAUGGCCAGGCUGUCUCCACCCGAGACUCAGUGAAAUUGAACUCGCUGUGAAGAUGCAGUGUACCCGCGGCAAGACGGAAAGACCCCGUGAACCUUUACUAUAGCUUGACACUGAACAUUGAGCCUUGAUGUGUAGGAUAGGUGGGAGGCUUUGAAGUGUGGACGCCAGUCUGCAUGGAGCCGACCUUGAAAUACCACCCUUUAAUGUUUGAUGUUCUAACGUAGACCCGUGAUCCGGGUUGCGGACAGUGUCUGGUGGGUAGUUUGACUGGGGCGGUCUCCUCCUAAAGAGUAACGGAGGAGCACGAAGGUUGGCUAAUCCUGGUCGGACAUCAGGAGGUUAGUGCAAUGGCAUAAGCCAGCUUGACUGCGAGCGUGACGGCGCGAGCAGGUGCGAAAGCAGGUCAUAGUGAUCCGGUGGUUCUGAAUGGAAGGGCCAUCGCUCAACGGAUAAAAGGUACUCCGGGGAUAACAGGCUGAUACCGCCCAAGAGUUCAUAUCGACGGCGGUGUUUGGCACCUCGAUGUCGGCUCAUCACAUCCUGGGGCUGAAGUAGGUCCCAAGGGUAUGGCUGUUCGCCAUUUAAAGUGGUACGCGAGCUGGGUUUAGAACGUCGUGAGACAGUUCGGUCCCUAUCUGCCGUGGGCGCUGGAGAACUGAGGGGGGCUGCUCCUAGUACGAGAGGACCGGAGUGGACGCAUCACUGGUGUUCGGGUUGUCAUGCCAAUGGCACUGCCCGGUAGCUAAAUGCGGAAGAGAUAAGUGCUGAAAGCAUCUAAGCACGAAACUUGCCCCGAGAUGAGUUCUCCCUGACCCUUUAAGGGUCCUGAAGGAACGUUGAAGACGACGACGUUGAUAGGCCGGGUGUGUAAGCGCAGCGAUGCGUUGAGCUAACCGGUACUAAUGAACCGUGAGGCUUAACCUUACAACGCCGAAG
rnacentral:rRNA from 1 species